ACAGAUGUCCACAUAGGCGAGGGACCAAAAUGAUUGAUAUUUUGGUAAUCUAAAGGGCUCUUCAAAUGUGAUAGCUUUUAAUGAACUUAUAUGAGAAGCCGACAUAUUUUGUCCACAAUGACCAUAGUUCCGGAUGUACAAAAUAGAAAUUUUUAAAAAGAACAUUUAGUAGUUAUCUAAAUGAGGUACAAAACGGAAAUUUUUAAAAUAAACAUCCAGAAGUUAAUUACCCGAUGUUUCGAUUGUUACAUAUCAUACAAGAUCAAUUUCGUAAUUUUAGAGAGCCUAAAGAGAUAUGGAGGGGACCUAAAAAGAAAUCAUCUUAUAUGUUUGCAUUAUAUGGGCUUUUAUGACACUCCUCAAUGAGUUGCAAUUUGAUGAAAUACUUGAAUGAUUUAGGCUCUGUUUGGUAAAAAUAGCGGAUAGCUGAUAAGCUAGCUGAUAGCUUUUAGCUGAUAACUUUUAGCUGAUAAGCUAACUGAAGUGUUUGGUAAAAAUAACGGUUCAACUAGCUGAUAAAUGUAAAAUGACAUAAAGGGUAUUCUUGAUUCAUAAUAAAAAUUAUAUCAUUAAUUUAAGUAGUUGUAGUUUUGUAAACUAAUU
rnacentral:lncRNA from 1 species